CCUACGGGAGGCAGCAGUGGGGAAUAUUGGACAAUGGGGGGAACCCUGAUCCAGCGACGCCGCGUGAGUGAAGAAGUAUUUCGGUAUGUAAAGCUCUAUCAGCAGGGAAGAAAGAAAUGACGGUACCUGACUAAGAAGCCUCGGCUAACUACGUGCCAGCAGUCGCGGUAAGACGUAGGGGGCAAGCGUUAUCCGGAUUUACUGGUUGUAAAGGGAGCGUAGACGGCGAUGCAAGUCUGAAGUGAAAGGCGGGGGCCCAACCCCCGGACUGCUUUGGAAACUGUAUGGCUGGAGUGCAGGAGAGGUAAGUGGAAUGCCUGGUGUAGCGGUGAAAUGCGUAGAUAUCAGGAGGAACACCAGUGGCGAAGGCAGCUUACUGGACUGUAACUGACGUUGAGGCUCGAAAGCGUGGGGAGCGAACAGGAUUAGAUACCCGUGUAGUC
rnacentral:rRNA from 1 species